rnacentral:lncRNA from 10 species
CUUACUUACUGGAAAAAAAAAAAAAAAAGUUUUGGUUUGCCCACCCCCAAGAUUUUUAAGAUAUACUAUUCCUUAAACUUUCAUCCAUAAAAUUUUUUUCAAGGCAUAUAUUUUAACAUUUCAUGAAACAAUGUUCCUUUGAGUAUCAGUUUGGGAAAUGCUGAUCUAACUUAAAACAGUUUUUUUUCCUUUGUCUUGCUUUAUCAGAUGAUAUGAUAAAAAUUAUUAUUUUAUAUAGUAUCUUAACCUUAUAUAAAAUAGCUUAAAAGAUUACUUCAUUAUUCCAAUAAUUUGUACUUUUCCAAGUAAGUCCCAUCUUCCAAGUUGUAUAUGUAUGUGCUUUUAAGAGCACUCUCUCAUUCUCUACGUUUCAAGUUAUGGUCAAAAAUUAGACAUACCAUUUUCUAUCAAGCAUAUCACUGCAUACCAAGCAUAUUGAAAGACAGCUAUAUGGCUUGGUUUUUCUCUACUGGAAUCAUGUUUUCCGUUACUAUUUAGUACGGUACAUAAUACAGUUGUCAUUGAGUAUAAGAUUCACCAUAACUCCUCUGGAAACAAAGUGUGCCAGUAGCUAGUGUUGCAUGCUGAGACUCUGUCGUCAUCACCAUCUACUCAGAUACUGAUACUAGCUAGCUUUGGUGUAACUGCUGACCAGCAUGGCAGGAAAGAAAGAAAAUACAUUUGCAUGGUCAAGCCAGAGGCAGCCUCUUUCCUAGACUAGCUGUGUGGUGUGAAGUACAAAUAGCUGAGUUGGACCCACUGAGUCCAGAGCAUUUUCAAGGUUGCACAGAAUCUAACCAUACUUUCUGAGGUCUGCUUUACAGCAGAAAAUACAGUGUGUAGUGUGUGAGCUUCAGAUAUCAGGACUGGGUUCAAAUCCCAAAUGUCACUUAGCAACUGAUGAGGAGGAGGAGGAAUACAGUAAUACGUUUUUAAUGCCUAGCAUGAUUGGCCUCCAGUUACGAGUUCUCUUUUCCAACCUAAUUUUUGUGUCUAGAUUUUCACAGGACAACUAAUCCCACCAACUAAAGGUAUUUUGGGGAGUAGGGGGAGCUUUAAACAUUAGAAAUAAGACUUGAGAUUGGGCUCCUACCCAGAACUCUAAGGGAUUCUUCUCUAUUUGAUCCCACUUUUCUGUAUCCUGUGCUCUGCCCUUUGGCUCUUUCUUAUGAUUACUCUCUUCUAGCUAUUUUGAAAUGCACAGUAGAUUAUUGUAAACUAUAGACACCCUACUGAUCUAACACUAGGUCUUCUUUCAAACUGUAUAUUUGUAGGCAUUAAUCUCUUCAUCCUCCCUUUCUCUGCCUGCUUUUUUAGCUCCCACAUGAGUGGAGAACAUGGGAUAUUUGUCUUCCUGUGCCUGGCUUAUUUCACUUACCAUAUUGACCUUCAGUUCCAUCCAUGUUGCUGCAAAUGACAGGAUCUCAGUCUUUUUCAUGGCUAAAUCAUAUUCCAUUGUAUAUAUGUACCACAUUUUCUUCAUCUGUUCAUCUGCUGAUGGGCACGUGGGUUGAUUCCCUAUCUUGGCUGUUGUGGAUAGUGCUGCAGUAGACACAGGAGUGCAGAUAUCUUUUUGAUAUACUGAUUUCCUUUCUUUUGGAUUCAUACCCAGUAGUGGAAUUGCUCGAUCACAGAGGACUUAUAUGUUUAGUUUUUUUAGGACUGUUUUGAAAAAGAAAAAGUUGUACAUGUUGCACAGGUGGCCUCACUGCUUUGUCACAAGGCCCUGCUAAGCACACCAGAGCAUUUGUUACCUUAGCAAGAUAAAGUCACAUUUAUGUUCACUAUGGACUUACCUGGAAUAUUAUAAAACUUUCCAAUUAAUCAUGUUUCUUAAAUACUCCCACUAAAGCUUAAGCAGCUACACACACAUGGUGCUACAAGUUUGAAAAGGAUAAGUUUCAACUAAGGAAGCCUGUCACCAGUCUCUCAAGGUUUGUCAGUUUUACCAGCCUCUGGAAGUUCCCAGCAGGCCACAUAGCUAAUGCCCAGAAGGAGUUGCAAAGACUCAAAGGCAGGUUAAGGACAGGCUGGAAAGCUGUGGAGGUUGCUGUAAAGAGGCAAAGGUCAUACUGUUGGGGUGGUCAGGCCAGUGGGAUGAGGACUGAGGCCCUUGAAGGAGGAACAUUGAGCCAUUCUCAUCCUCCAUAUCUCAGGGGCUGAAGGUGCAGAGAGAAAAUGUCCUGCCCUCAUCCAGUUGAUAUUCCAGGGAGGAGACAGAUGGUAAAUUAUCUUGCUCAUGUUUACCCUGUGCCACCCGCUGCAAGCACUCUGUGUGGAUGAAUGUUUGUCCUCACACAACCUUAGGAAGCACAUAAUACCUUUUCCCCAUUUGGCAAAGGUCCAAGUUCCCCAGCCAGGAGGUGGGCAGGCAGGGCAGUAACCCCAGGAGCUGGGCCUUGGAUACUGCACUCUUUUUUUGGGAUGGAGUUUUGCUGUUACGGCCCAGGCUGGAGUGCAAUGGCGCUAUCUCAGCUUACUGCAACCUCCACCUCUUGGGUUCACGUGAUUCUCCUGCCUCAGCCUUCCCAGUAGCUGGUAUUACAGGCGCAUACCAUCAUUCCCGGCUAAUCUUUUUGUAUUUUUAGUAGAGAUGGGGUUUCACCAUGUUGGCCAGGCUGGUCUUGAACUCCUGACCUCAGGUGAUCCACCCACCUCAGCCUCCCAAAAUGCUGGGAUUACAGGCAUGAGCCACCAUGCCCAGCCGAAACAGCUCUCUUACUGCUGUUGUCUGAGUGUUUAUGUCCUCCCCGAAAUGUAUAUGUUGAAAUCGUAAAUCCCAAAGUGAUGGAAUUAGGAGGCAGGGCCUUCAGGAGGCGAUGGGUCAUGAGAGCGGAAUCCUCAUGAAUGGGACUGGUGCCUUUAUAUUAGAGCCCAAGGAGAGACCCCCCCGCCCCAUCCCUUCCACCAUGUGAGGACACAGGAGACGGUGUCACCUAUGAACCAGGAAGCAACCCUCAUUAGACACCAAAUCUGCCAGUGCCUUGAUCUUAGAUGUCCCAGACUCUAGGACUGUGAGAGAGCAAUUUCUGUUGUUGACAACCCACCAGUUUAUGGUAUUUUCUUAUAGCAGCUUAAACAGACUAAGAUACCCACGAGUCUAUUAACAAGAUAAUAAACAAAGUAUAAUUUCAGGAAUUAACAAGAAACAGGAAUAAAAAGAGCUGUGAAGAAACAAAGUGGGGCAAAUGAAUAGUCCGUGAGAAGGAAUGCUAUUUGAGUCGAGGUCAGGGUGCCUCUUUCAGGAAGCAACAUUCGGACAAAGACCCGAACGGAAUGAGGGGACAAACAAUGGGCAACGUUUUGGGGGUUGGUGAGGACAGCAGCAAUGGGCAGAGCCUGAGGCAGGAACCAGCCAGGCCUUUGGAGGAAGAGCAGGAAGCCAGUGUGGGGGGAACAGGGAGCCAGGCGAGGCCUGGAGGAUACACUAGAGAUGGCAGGCAGCUCAGUCAGGUGAAGCCACUGAGAGAUGAAAGCCGACAACACUGUGGGAAACUGACAGCAGGAGAGCCUAGGGAAAAGCGGGGUGGUUAUUCAAAGAGCAGGUUGCUUAGCACCUUUAAGGAAUUUUGGGGGUGGGGGCAGCAGGAACCCACCAUCACAAAAAUCACUGACAUGCCAUAUCAUGGAUGAAUCUCAAAAACAUUAUAAGUGAAAGAAGCCAGACACAAAUGACUGGGUAUAGUCUGAUUAAGUGAAAUAUCCUGAAAAGGCAGUUCUAUAAAGAUAGAAUGUAGAUUAGUGGGUACCUGGAGUUGGUGGUGAAGAUGGUAAUUAACUACUUGGGCAUAAAGGAUCUAACCGGGAUGACAAAAAUGUUCUAAAACUGGAUUUCAGUAACGGUUGCACAACCUGGUAAAUGUAUUAAAAAGUCAUUGAAUUGUACACUUGAAAUGUAUGAAUUUUAUGGUUUGUAAAUCAUAAUGUUAUCGAAAUAAUCUCUGGUAGUGAAAUAAAGAGAAAAAAGAGCAAUGACCCUUUCUGGAUGAGUGCCAUCCAGGAAUAGCCACCUGGAGAACUGCAGAGUCAAGUAAGAAAGGCAGGUGACCAGGGGCAACUGAGAUAAAAGCUUGCAUAUCAGGCUUAGGCAAAGAGGAUGAGGGCUAUUUUGAGCAGCCGUCUUUAGGUCAGGGUUCACAUUUGCAGGCAAAACUGUCCCUCUCUCUCUCUGAGUUUGCUCCUGUAGAUCAAAUAUCAGGCCGGCUGAUAGGGUGUCCUGAGAAUAUGCCCUGCAUCCACCUUACAGGCUUUGCUCUGCUCAGGAGCUCAGGGCCUCCUGCAGCCACGUGACCGCAGCACUGAGAAGCAGGCAGGGGGAGGCACGGGCAAGGAGGGUUCGUUCAAUGCCAAGUAAGUGACUAAGGAAGCUCUUGUUUACUGUGCAAGAGAAAAUGACUUGGUGGCCAUUUGUGGAGGUUAUUAAUGCCAAAUAAUCUAGAAAUUAUAAACAAAAUAUCAUAAUGGUAAUAUAUGAUUUAGAAACUGAUUUACAUCUAAUUGACACAAUAUUAUAGUGUCUUCCAGUUCCAAAGUAUGAAAGGCUUUGAGAAACAUCAGAGGAAAGAGCUUCCAGUCACCUCUAUGGAGAGUCAAACUGAGGUUAACCUGAAAACCAAAUCAGCAUCAAAACAUAACCACCCUAAAACUCCAGAGAAAAUGAUGGAAGUUAAUACAGGUAGCACUGAGUUAUUUCCCCAGGACAUUCAGGUGUUGGCGCUGUGAUUGGCAUUUUUCCAGAGGACCAGGUUGCCUGCAACCUCAGGCCCCAGAAGAUGCAGGAACCUGAACACCAGGGCCACCCCCUGCUCUGUCACUACUCUGGUCUUGCCUUGGAGUGUGAAAUGCUGCAAUUCAUCCAAGAUACAGUCAUGCAGCAUAUAACAUUUCUGCAUAUGACUGCAUGUAUAAUGAUAGUCCCAUAAGAUUAUAACAAGCUGAAAAAUUCCUAUCACCUAAUGACAUCAUAGCCACCAUCAUGUCGCAGUGCAACACACAUGUGUUUGUGGUGAUACUGUUGUAAACAGACCUACUGCAGUGCCGGUCAUAUAAAAGUCUAGCACAUACAAGUAUGUACAGUACCUAAUACUUGAUCAUAACAGCUGUUCCUAGUUUACGUGUUCACUAUAUUAUAGUUUUUUAUCAUUUUGAAGUAUACUCCUAAAAACAAAAAAAGGCUACCCUGUAAGACAGUCUCAGGCAAGUCCUUCAGGAGGUUUUCCAGAAGUAGUCACUGUUAUAGGAGAUCACAGCUCCAUGAGCGUUACUGGCCCUGAAGACCUUGGAAGGAUGUGAAGUGGAAGACAAUGAGCAAUAUUGAUGAUCCUAACCCUGUGUAG